ACAAGGAUUCCUCUAGUAACGGCGAGCGAACGAGGAAUAGCCCAGCACCGAAUCCUGUUCCGUCAUGGUACCAGGAAAUGUGGUGUUUAGGCCGUGCUUUGUGCCGGUACGACUCUCCUCAAGUCCACUUGAUUGUGGCUUCAGGCCCAGAGAGGGUGUAAGGCCCGUGGAGGCGAGUUGUCCGGUGCCCGGCACGUCCUUAGAGUCGGGUUGUUUGGGAAUGCAGCCCUAAGCGGGUGGUAAACUCCAUCCAAGGCUAAAUACUAGCACGAGUCCGAUAGCGAAGAAGUACCGCGAGGGAAAGUUGAAAAGAACUUUGAAGAGAGAGUUCAAGAGUACGUGAAACCGCUGAGAGGCAAACUGGUGGAGCUGAAAUGGCUUUGAGGAAUUCAGCCCUUGGCUUGGGAGAUGAUGUAGGUUUUGAGAUCUCACGACUCUGCUUGCGUUACUCUUCUCGAGCGAGAGGUGCACUUUCCUCUUAACCGGACCACGACCAGCGAACGUCUUGUCUGACAUUGGUGGAAGGUAGCGACUGCUUCGGCAGUCGUGUUAUAGCCGCCAGUUCGGAGCGAGUAGAGCGUUGGAUUACUCGGUGCCUGCCCUUCGGGCUCGUACGGUGUUUCUUUCUGGGCUGGCAUUGGUUUCACUGCUUCGGCAGGGGUAUUGGUGACGGUUUGGUUAGAAAUGUCCUCUGCGAUUGGCAUCUACAGUCAGUGGUUUCGAAGUAGGCAGUCCACCUGACCCGUCUUGAAACACGGACCAAGGAGUCUAACAUGUGCGCGAGUCAUUGGGCUCUACGAAACCUAAAGGCGAAGUGAAAGUGAAGAUCCUUUUUGGAGGGUUGAGGUAGGAUCCUGUACUACGCGUAUAGGCGCACUACCGGCCCGUCCGACAUGUUUUCAUACGGGCGGAGCAAGAGCGUACACGUUGGGACCCGAAAGAUGGUGAACUAUGCUUGCGCAGGUCGAAGCCAGAGGAAACUCUGGUGGAGGACCGUAGCGAUU
rnacentral:rRNA from 1 species